ensembl:lncRNA LINC00343 long intergenic non-protein coding RNA 343
GAAUUCUACAAAGAGGCUAUGGGAAAGAAACCUGGAAAGUACCCUUGGCUGUGUACAUUUGAGUAAAGAGAGCACUAUAAAAUCAAAAACCAAUGAAAUGGUUUCCAGAACACAGAACUAUUAAGCUUAAGAAAAGGACAGAAGGAACUGAAGAGAGAGGAACUGUUUUGGAGCAUCACACUUCCACCUCAGAAGAAAUAAGGAAGGAAGGAGGAGGGUGUUCCCACGGCUCUUCAACCAGGCCGGCUCUUCAGCCUACAUCCCCAUCUCAUCAAGUAAAAGGGAUUUUUCAACUGGACCAACCAGAUGGUUUAACAGUGCACUCCCACACCAUUCAACUACGCAAGGGAGAUACACUUAACAUAUGCAGUCGUAUAACACCUACUAACAUUUUCAAACAUUAAACCUUUAAAAAAGAGUUCUAAAGAAAUAGAAGCUUGAAGUAUCAUCUCUCAAGUAUAUAGACACUACUUCAUGGUGUGGUAAUAUAUGCAUAUAGAAGCUAGUAAACACCUCCAGGAGAUGCAAAAGGAAUUAGAACUGCCACAAGGUGCAAGCAAAACCUUGAGCUUCUUUAAAAUAUGAAGACUUCGAAGUUAUUUAUCCAAACCAACCUGAUCAUUUCUUAAGAGUGAAUAUACCUUGGAAGACGUGUCCUGCCUUUAGUAGCGUCACAAUGGAUUACAUCCUCUAUAAAGCAGUCUGGGAUAUUCUGCCCAAUCAGAGGCUAACAUCUGCCACAAGACAAAUAUGGUGCCUGCCCCCAUGGAGCUCAUAUUCGAAUGGAGAAAAUGUCAACAAGUAUCCCACGGAGUGAACACUUCAAAAGGAGAAGCACAGGUGAGAAAAUCGAAUUUGGACACCGUUGAGGAGACUAUUGCAGUCAUCCAAGCUCAAGAUGGUGGAGCUUCAUCCUUGAGAAUAACCAAUGGGGAUAGAUUUAAGAGACACUUAGAGUCUGCAGCCAACAGGGCUGAAUGAGCAGAUAUGGGAGGACACCUGAGACGGCAGGCCAGAAGUCACUCAGUAGGAGAAACAUCCGUUAGAAGUAAUAAUGUGGGAUUGCUGAAGUAAAGACUAUAGGAAGAAAAAAGUGUCUGUGUGUAGGAAACGGAAAGGGAGAGAAAAAUACACUGAGAUGGUAAAGUAAGGAAGUGGAAGAUCAGCAGAAUGUGCAGAUGCCAAGCCAUCCAAGAAAAUCAUCUCUUGUGAUUGUUGCGAAGUCAACUAGCUAAUGUGACUCACUGCUAGGCUGUUGGAUCUGAGACUUAUGUGGGAUAAUUUAGAAACUUGCUAGUGUCUUAAGAUCAAUUACUCACCAAUGAGAGUGGCAUUGAACUGUGAAUGUUCCUCCUAGAUUUUCCAUGAAGACUAAUGGUUUUGUCUUGUCUUGAAUUUGUUUUAAUUACAAUUUGUAUACAUCCUGUUCCACCCUGAAAUUUUUAUUUUCCAAAUGGUUUUUCAUUUAAAGAGACUAAAUAAAGGUUCUGAC